rnacentral:rRNA from 1 species
CAGUAGCCGCGGUAAUACAGAGGGUGCAAGCGUUAAUCGGAUUUACUGGGCGUAAAGCGUGCGUAGGUGGCUGUUUAAGUCGGAUGUGAAAGCCCUGGGCUUAACCUGGGAACUGCAUUCGAUACUGGAUAGCUAGAGAUCGGUAGAGGGCAGCGGAAUUCCGGGUGUAGCGGUGAAAUGCGUAGAUAUCCGGAGGAACACCGAUGGCGAAGGCAACUGCCUGGGCCUGAUCUGACACUGAGGCACGAAAGCGUGGGUAGCAAACAGGAUUAGAUACCCCCGUAGUCCCUGUCUCUUAUAC